GACCUGGUUCAGACAGCACAGAGCUGCAGAGUGAUACAACUCAUGAGAAGUGGCUGCAGGUUACCACCAACAUGGAAAGUGUUGAGAAAAAGAAAGAAAAGUCU